UCCUGUGGAGAUUAGAAACAAGGAGUUUAUUGUCCUGCUUGCUCAAAAAAACUCAGGAGAGGAGACAGAGCAAGUCUAAAGGUUUUGGAGUUGGAAGGAACCUGCCUCCUCCUAGCCCUCUGACCUUGAGAUCCACAGAAGUACAAAAGCAGCACAAAGGAUCUGAAAGAAAAUAUACUUCUUUAUUGAAGCAAAAUGGUGCGACCAACUUCUAGCAUAUGGAAGCAUUUCCACACUGCAAGUUAUUCUGAGAAAAAAAAUGUGAUUUGCAAAUACUGUCAAAUUAAAUAUGCAUUUCCAAAUGCUACCAGGAUGACCAAACAUAUCCUUGUGUGUAAGAAGUAUCCUGCAGACAUUAACAAAUCCUUCACAGGUGUAAGUGAGGAGGUAGAUCAUGAUGAUGAAAAUGCAAGUAGCUCUUUCCAAUGUUCUCGAUCCAGAAGUCCUCCUACUGCUGCUGCUAUAAACAUCAGCAUCACAAAGGUCUGGCCAAUCAACAUCAAGUAACCAAAUAUUGCAACCAACUGUAUACAAAAGAUUCUCAAUAGCUUCAUUUGUAAACAAGAUGACACCUGAAGAUCAGGAAAAAAUUGACCAAGCUUUUGCAAGAGUAAUAUAUUCUUCUGGGAUGCCAUUGUCAAUAACUGAAAAUCCAUACUGGCACGAAGCUUUUAAAUUACUAAAACCAUCAUACAGCUUGCUUAGCAGACAUUCUUUAAGCAACCUUCUUUUAGUCAGAAUAUGAAUGUGUAGUGCAAUCUGCAGUCUUGCAGUACACAGAGAUGGACAAAUGUGCAGGGAGAAGAAAUCAUAAACUUUGUGAUAACAACUCAACCAGUUUUUUUACAAAAGCACUGAAACAGGAGAGAACAGGCAUACUGCAGAGUAUAUCAGUAGUAAAAUAUGUGAAGUCCUACAGAAGAUUAGGAGUGGUAAAGUAUUUGCUUUGCUGACUGACAAUGCAAGUAACAUGAAAGCAGUAUGGGAGAUCAUAAUGGAUAAAUACCCACAUAUUACUGCAACAGGAUGUGCAUCCCAUGGGCUAAACUUGCUUCUUAAUGACAUCAUGAAGUUGGACACUCUGCAAAAGAUCUAUAGAAGAGCAAAAGAAGUUAUCAAACAUGUAACUACUCAUAUUGUUGCUGCAGUCUUUAAGAAGAACCAGGAAGAAAAAGAAUGCAAAGAAUAAAAUAGUGACACUCAAACUCUGUAGUAAAACUAGACGGGGUGGAGUGGUGAUCUCAUUUGAAAGUUUACUAAAAAACAAAGCAACUCCUCAAGAAACAGUAAUAA